rnacentral:lncRNA from 1 species
CAAACACGAGUGACGAUUCUAUGAAUCCAAAUCAGAUAUAGAUUUAAUUAAUAAGGUAAAUAAAAAUCUUAUUAAUAUUAUAUAUAUAAAAUCACAAACAAAUGCAACUAUUAAUAUUUACACAGUUUCGUUUCUAUAUAGAACAAUACCCACUACUUCAACUCUAAUAUUGAGAGAAAACUAAUUAAUCCAAAAAUUUUCUCAUCAGCCAUGGAUUUUCUUGGCCUGCAAAACACAAACAAUCAAAACAACAAAGCAAAGAAUUUUACAUUUUUUUAAUUUAAUAAUUGUUAAAUUUAUUUUUAUGCAAUAUCUCCCUCCAAAAGAGAGGUUUUAUAGUGGUCUUACAUUUUGUCGAUUGCCAUUGGAGUUGCGAGCUGCUGCUUGAUCUCCAUGGAUGAAAGGUCUGCCAUGAGAACGACCACCAGGAGGAGGCAACGCAGAAGAGUGAGUCUCAGGUCCUCUGUAAUCAAUCUCGAAAAUAUCUGGUUCUGCUACUUGACAUCUUCCUACAACAAGGAAACUUAGCUAACUUAGUUACAAUUCUCUUAUUUACAACCAUAGCUAUAAAUCAUCAUCAGGAAGCUGUUGAUUCUAAGUGCAGAGACCUCUUGGCAAGACAAGGAGGAGGAGUAGAAGGAAGAUGGAGAUGACACUGCGCUUGAUCUCCAUUGAGGGGGCUUCAGGUCUUACAAACUAUAGCUAGCCAGCUACCUAUAUAUACAUUUAUAUAUACAUUAAAUAUAUGAAGAAGAUGAAGCAACAGCUACCAGCUGAAUAAGAAGAAGAAGAAGAAAAAGAAGAAGAAGCCUAAAGUAAAUGAAAUGGUCACCAAGGAAUGGAAGCAGUUGAGGUUCUUUCUGUGAGUUUAUUAGCAAAAUGAAAUGGUCACAAUCGACACAGCAACUAGUUGCUAGUUGACGAUGUGGAUGUGUUGGGUUGGAACAUUUAUGUAUUCUAACCAUAAGUUUAAGAAUUAAAAUUCA